rnacentral:rRNA from 1 species
GACGAACGCUGGCGGCGUGCCUAAUACAUGCAAGUAGAACGCUGAAGGAGGAGCUUGCUUCUCUGGAUGAGUUGCGAACGGGUGAGUAACGCGUAGGUAACCUGCCUGGUAGCGGGGGAUAACUAUUGGAAACGAUAGCUAAUACCGCAUAAUAGUAGAUGUUGCAUGACAUUUGCUUAAAAGGUGCAAUUGCAUCACUACCAGAUGGACCUGCGUUGUAUUAGCUAGUUGGUGGGGUAACGGCUCACCAAGGCGACGAUACAUAGCCGACCUGAGAGGGGGGUCGGCCACACUGGGACUGGGACACGGCCCCGACUCCUACGGGAGGCAGCAGUAGGGAAUCUUCGGCAAUGGACGGAAGUCUGACCGAGCAACGCCGCGUGAGUGAAGAAGGUUUUCGGAUCGUAAAGCUCUGUUGUAAGAGAAGAACGAGUGUGAGAGUGGAAAGUUCACACUGUGACGGUAUCUUACCAGAAAGGGACGGCUAACUACGUG